AUGUGGACCAAUGGAAGCAGUUGGAUGCAAUACUGGUUCUUUGAAGAUGUCACUUUCGACAAUGACAUGCAAUUCGUGCUUUUUGUUGGGGUGAACAACCGUUUUCAGAGCAUUAUUUUGGCUGGUGUAUUGAUGAGGCACGAGCAGCUGAAGAGUUUCGACCGGGGAGUUUCUAAGGAUGAUAGGAGGAACCGACCCGAAAACUAUCGUCACAGGUUUGGCAGUGUAUUUAAUUUGCAGUUCACAAUCAGAAUAUUUGAACAUGCUCACUCAUGUUAUCUCACUGUGUGCAGACCAGAACAAAAUGUUUGCUGUCUUUUUAAUUUUUAUUAA
rnacentral:rRNA from 1 species